CUGCUGCCUCCUCAGCAUGAACUGUUUCUCUUCUUUUCUCUGUUCUUGGAUAACCCUGCUUAUUUUCAUCAUGUAGAUGAAACAGAAGCUGAGCGGGAGAAGAAGCGUCUAGAACGAGCCAAGAGACGGGCAUUGAGCAGCUCUGUCAUUCGUGAACUUAAGGAGCAGUACUCAGAUGCUCCAGAGGAAAUCCGUGAUGCUCGGCAUCCCCAUGUUACCCGCCAGAGUCAGGAGGACCAACACAGGAUUAACUAUGAGGAGAGCAUGAUGGUGCGUUUGAGCGUCAGUAAGCGAGAGAAAGGACGGCGAAAACGAGCAAAUGUCAUGAGCUCACAACUUCAUUCCCUUACACACUUCAGUGACAUCAGUGCUUUGACAGGGGGAACUGCUCAUCUUGAUGAGGAUCAGAAUCCUAUUAAGAAGCGGAAGAAGAUACCUCAGAAAGGUCGGAAGAAAAAAGGUUUUCGGAGGCGGCGGUGAUUAUGGGUGUACAUAUUUGUAUAUUUUUUGUCAUCCUGAGAUACUUCUAAUUUCAUUGUAUAUAGGUGGUUUUCCCUGGAAUUCAUUAAUUGUUUGCUUUGGACAUGUGGAAAGAGCCUUACUAAUAAAAUUGAUUUUACUUAUGAAUUAAA
rnacentral:sRNA from 1 species